rnacentral:rRNA from 1 species
AAUGAACGUUGGCGGCGUGGAUUAGGCAUGCAAGUCGAGCGAGAAACAUUCCUUCGGGAGUGUGGACAGCGGCAAACGGGGUAGUAAUGCGUAGGUGACGUACCCCAAGGACCGGGAUAGCCGCGGGAAACUGCGGGUAAUACCGGAUGACCUCACUCUUCAUGAUUGGAGGGUGAGCAAAGGGUGUGAUUCCGCCAUGGAGCGGCCUGCGUGGUACUAGGUAGUUGGUGAGGUAACGGCUCACCAAGCCUGAGAUGCCUAGGGGGUGUGAGAGCACGACCCCCACCACUGGGACUGAGACACUGCCCAGACACCUACGGGUGGCUGCAGUCGAGAAUCUUCGGCAAUGGGCGUAAGCCUGACCGAGCGACGCCGCGUGCGGGAUGAAGGCCUUUGGGUCGUAAACCGCUGUCAGAGGGGAUGAAAUGCGGAAGGGUUCUCCCUUUCGUUUGACAUAGCCUCAGAGGAAGCACGGGCUAAGUGCGUGCCAGCAGCCGCAGUAAGAC